GUGUGGGGAACAUGAGAGCCAGACCAAAGCUCAGAGCCCAGAGCUGUGGGGCGUACCAGGCUCAGCUGGACAUAACCCUGAAACUAAUCCAGAACCUGGACCUGAACCCAGCUGUGUUUCCUUAAAGAGCAACAUGUCGAAGGAUGUUGGUGUAAAAUUUAACAAAAGACUGUUAUGUGACAAAGAGAUCAAUAAGAGGCCAGAAUCUCCUGGACCUGAACCCAGC